rnacentral:rRNA from 1 species
GACGAACGCUGGCGGCGUGCUUAACACAUGCAAGUCGAACGGAAAGGCCCUGCUUUUGUGGGGUGCUCGAGUGGCGAACGGGUGAGUAACACGUGAGUAACCUGCCCUUGACUUUGGGAUAACUUCAGGAAACUGGGGCUAAUACCGGAUAGGAGCUCCUGCUGCAUGGUGGGGGUUGGAAAGUUUCGGCGGUUGGGGAUGGACUCGCGGCUUAUCAGCUUGUUGGUGGGGUAGUGGCUUACCAAGGCUUUGACGGGUAGCCGGCCUGAGAGGGUGACCGGCCACAAUGGGACUUGGGAUAGGCCCAGACUCCUACGGGAGGCAGCAGUGGGGAAUAUUGCACAAUGGGCGGAAGCCUGAUGCAGCAACGCCGCGUGCGGGAUGACGGCCUUCGGGUUGUAAACCGCUUUCGCCUGUGACGAAGCGUGAGUGACGGUAAUGGGUAAAGAAGCACCGGCUAACUACGUG